rfam:Triticum urartu cultivar G1812 contig1223529, whole genome shotgun sequence.
UGUAUACUCCCUCCGUCUGAAAAAGCUUGUCCCUCAAAUGGAUGUAUCUAGCACCAAGUUAGUGCUAGAUACAUCCAUUUGAUGGACAAGCUUGGGACAAGUUUUUUCGGACGGAGGGAGUAGAAC